rnacentral:rRNA from 1 species
AUUGAACGCUGGCGGCAGGCUUAACACAUGCAAGUCGAGCGGGGGAAGGUAGCUUGCUACCGGACCUAGCGGCGGACGGGUGAGUAAUGCUUAGGAAUCUGCCUAUUAGUGGGGGACAACAUCUCGAAAGGGAUGCUAAUACCGCAUACGUCCUACGGGAGCAAGCAGGGGAUCUUCGGACCUUGCGCUAAUAGAUGGGCCUAAGUCGGAUUAGCUAGUUGGUGGGGUAAAGGCCUACCAAGGCGACGAUCUGUAGCGGGUCUGAGAGGAUGAUCCGCCACACUGGGACUGAGACACGGCCCAGACUCCUACGGGAGGCAGCAGUGGGGAAUAUUGGACAAUGGGGGGAACCCUGAUCCAGCCAUGCCGCGUGUGUGAAGAAGGCCUUAUGGUUGUAAAGCACUUUAAGCGAGGAGGAGGCUACUUUAGUUAAUACCUAGAGAUAGUGGACGUUACUCGCAGAAUAAGCACCGGCUAACUCUGUGCCAGCCGCCGCAGUAA